GGAUCCGGAAGUAAAAGUCGUAACAAGGUGGCUGUAGGUGAAACCUGCUGCCGGAUCAUUA
rnacentral:rRNA from 1 species